AGAGAGUAUAGUCAGGACUCUUUUCCUCUUCAAUGGAGGAGUCGAAAGAAAUUCAGCAAAGUCUCAGCUCUAUGAAUUCUGACUUAUCUUUUGGAGGGGUAUCCUAUCUCUCUUUCUAUAUAGAGGUAGCUUGUUUAAGUCGUUAGGAGAGUUUGUUAGGCCAUUAGUUUGUUACAACAAAAAAACCAGCUGUAUGGAGAUCGUAGACUAUUCAUUCAUAUGGAGAUUAGCUAUAGUAUAGCCGGAAGAUAGCUACUGUUGAGUUGACCGACAGCUGUAAGAUAACUGUUUGUGUUUUAAAAUCACAUCGAUUACAUCAAUUUUGACCUGAUGUCCCAUAUGGUA
rnacentral:lncRNA from 1 species